CACCGGCGGCUCGAGUGGUGGCCACUUUUAUUGGGUCUAAAGCGUCCGUAGCCGGCUUGGCAAGUCCACUGGGAAAUCUGGCGGCUUAACCGUCAGGCGUCCAGAGGAUACUGCCAGGCUUGGGACCGGGAGAGGUGAGAGGUACCUCAGGGGUAGGGGUGAAAUCUUGUGAUCCCUGAGGGACCACCAGUGGCGAAGGCGUCUCACUAGAACGGGUCCGACGGUCAGGGACGAAAGCUGGGGGCACGAACCGG
rnacentral:rRNA from 1 species